rnacentral:rRNA from 1 species
AAAUUGAAGAGUUUGAUCAUGGCUCAGAUUGAACGCUGGCGGCAGGCCUAACACAUGCAAGUCGAACGGUAGCACAGAGAGCUUGCUCUCGGGUGACGAGUGGCGGACGGGUGAGUAAUGUCUGGGAAACUGCCUGAUGGAGGGGGAUAACUACUGGAAACGGUAGCUAAUACCGCAUAACGUCGCAAGACCAAAGAGGGGGACCUUCGGGCCUCUUGCCAUCAGAUGUGCCCAGAUGGGAUUAGCUAGUAGGUGGGGUAACGGCUCACCUAGGCGACGAUCCCUAGCUGGUCUGAGAGGAUGACCAGCCACACUGGAACUGAGACACGGUCCAGACUCCUACGGGAGGCAGCAGUGGGGAAUAUUGCACAAUGGGCGCAAGCCUGAUGCAGCCAUGCCGCGUGUAUGAAGAAGGCCUUCGGGUUGUAAAGUACUUUCAGCGGGGAGGAAGGCGAUAAGGUUAAUAACCUUGUCGAUUGACGUUACCCGCAGAAGAAGCACCGGCUAACUCCGUGCCAGCAGCCGCGGUAAUACGGAGGGUGCAAGCGUUAAUCGGAAUUACUGGGCGUAAAGCGCACGCAGGCGG